CCUACGGGCGGCUGCAGUGGGGAAUAUUGGACAAUGGGCGAAAGCCUGAUCCAGCCAUGCCGCGUGUGUGAAGAAGGCCUUCGGGUUGUAAAGCACUUUCAGUGGGGAAGAAAGCCUUGGGGCUAAUACCCUCGAGGAAGGACAUCACCCACAGAAGAAGCACCGGCUAACUCCGUGCCAGCAGCCGCGGUAAUACGGAGGGUGCGAGCGUUAAUCGGAAUUACUGGGCGUAAAGCGCGCGUAGGCGGUCUGAUAAGCCGGUUGUGAAAGCCCCGGGCUCAACCUGGGAACGGCAUCCGGAACUGUCAGGCUAGAGUGCAGGAGAGGAAGGUAGAAUUCCCGGUGUAGCGGUGAAAUGCGUAGAGAUCGGGAGGAAUACCAGUGGCGAAGGCGGCCUUCUGGACUGACACUGACGCUGAGGUGCGAAAGCGUGGGUAGCAAACAGGAUUAGAUCCCCUUGUAGUC
rnacentral:rRNA from 1 species